GGCUCCAUAGCUUAGCGGUUAGAGCACUGGUCUUGUAAACCAGGGGUCGUGAGUUCAACCCUCACUGGGGCCU
rnacentral:tRNA from 1 species